rnacentral:rRNA from 1 species
UACGUAGGGUGCGAGCGUUGUCCGGAAUUAUUGGGCGUAAAGAGCUCGUAGGUGGUUUGUCGCGUUGUUCGUGAAAACCUGGGGGCUUAACUCUGGGCGUGCGGUCGAUACGGGCAUCACUGGAGUUCGGCAGGGGAGACUGGAAUUCCUGGUGUAGCGGUGAAAUGCGCAGAUAUCAGGAGGAACACCGGUGGCGAAGGCGGGUCUCUGGGCCGAUACUGACGCUGAGGAGCGAAAGCAUGGGUAGCGAACAGG